CUGAGUUACCGCUCAUCAACCCUUUGUGAACAUACCUUAACUGUUGCUUCGGCGGGGUAGGCGUCCCCUGAAAAGGACGUCUCCCGGCCCUCUCCCGUCCGCGGGUGGGGCGCCCGCCGGAGGAUAACCAAACUCUGAUUUAACGACGUUUCUUCUGAGUGACACAAGCAAAUAAUCA
rnacentral:misc_RNA from 1 species